rnacentral:rRNA from 1 species
ACGCUCGACACCUACGGGAGGCAGCAGUGGGGAAUAUUGCACAAUGGGGGAAACCCUGAUGCAGCGACGCCGCGUGAAGGAAGAAGUAUCUCGGUAUGUAAACUUCUAUCAGCAGGGAAGAAAAUGACGGUAUCUGACUAAGAAGCCCCGGCUAACUACGUGUCAGCAGCCGCGGUAAUCUGAGCGGCUGGCAAGGC